ensembl:lncRNA
AGGUAAUGUAGUAAUAGUGUUGCAGAGAGAGAGAGUAGGGUAAUAUAGUAAUAGUGUUGCAGAGAGAGAGAGGUAAUAUAGUAAUAGUGUUGCACAGAGAGAGAGAGGUAAUAUAGUAAUAGUGUUGCAGAGAGAGAGAGUAGGGUAAUAUAGUAAUAGUGUUGCAGAGAGAAAGAGGUAAUAUAGUAAUAGUGUUGCAGAGAGAGAGAAAGAGGUAAUAUAGUAAUAGUGUUGCAGAGAGAGAGAGGUAAUAUAGUAAUAGUGUUGCAGAGAGAGAGAGGUAAUAUAGUAAUAGUGUUGCAGAGAGAGAGAGGUAAUAUAGUAAUAGUGGUGCAGAGAAAGAGAAAGAGGUAAUAUAGUAAUAGUGUUGCAGAGAGAGAGAGAGAGAGAGGUAAUAUAGUAAUCGUGUUGACGAGAGAGGUAAUAUAGUAAUCGUGUUGACGAGAGAGAGGUAAUAUAGUAAUAGUGUUGAGAGAGAGAGGUAAUAUAGUAAUCGUGUUGCAGAGAGAGAGAGAGAGAGGUAAUAUAGUAAUAGUGUUGAGAGAGAGAGAGAGAGAGAGAGAGAGGUAAUAUAGUAAUCGUGUUGCCGAGAGAGAG